UACGAAGGGGGCUAGCGUUGCUCGGAAUUACUGGGCGUAAAGGGCGCGUAGGCGGAUAGUUUAGUUGGGGGUGAAAGCCCGGGGCUCAACCUCGGAAUUGCCUUCAAUACUGGCUAUCUUGAGUGUGAGAGAGGUGUGUGGAACUCCGAGUGUAGAGGUGAAAUUCGUAGAUAUUCGGAAGAACACCAGUGGCGAAGGCGACACACUGGCUCACUACUGACGCUGAGGGGCGAAAGCGUGGGGAGCAAACAGG
rnacentral:rRNA from 1 species